CUGGUGGGCAGGGCCACYCCAGGGAAACGCCCAAUCUCCGACGUGCUUCGUAGUGUCAGCCGUUCACCUGGCAUCCUGAAAAACAAGGCCAGAAGAGGUGUCGCUAUCUUAGCUGAACUGCUAAUGAAGAAGCUGCUAAUAAACUCAUAACUAUCAUGACUUUUCAGCAACCAACAAGCCAGUCAAUGAACUACAGCAACCUACCUGGCUCAGUGAACCUCUAGCUUGGACCAUUUGUUUGCAUCAGAACAAUGCCCAUUCUUGCAAAUGCUGUUUGGCAACUUGUCGCAGCCAAGAGAGAUAACUUACCUUCCUAGCUAGCAGACACAGUUGUGUUUGGGUUGCACAUUUUGCUACAUUUGCUGAAUUUUAGGCUAUUUCUGCCCUCAGGUGAACUAUUUUAACAUUUUUCUUCUAACAAUCUCUGGCCACAUUGUAUUACUGAAAUACGUAAUAAUAUAUAAUAAAUAGUUGAGUUUUGAGUCACAGGUGGAUUGUGUGGUUAAAAAAGCACACCAACAGAUGCAUUUUUAUCGCAAGCUUCGUUCUUUUAAUGUCAGUCCUGUUUUUAUGAAGAUGUUUUAUUCUGCUUUUAUUGGAUCUGUUCUCACUUUUGCUUUUAUUUGUUGGUACGGGUCACUUUCCAUCAAAUGUAAGAAUUGCUCACAUAAUAUUGUCAAGAUUUGUUGUARGGUUGCUGGCAUGUCUCUAAAUGACCUGAGUGAGGUCUAUAAUUCCAGGUCUUUAAAGAAGGCUAAGAUCAUUCUAGCUGAUUCAAGCCAAACUUUGUGGGGACAAUUCUCCCUCUUACCUUCAUGUCGGAGCACUGUAAGAAAAACAGACUGAAAAAAUCUUUUGUUCCAGCUGCAAUUGGCCUGAUUAAUUCCAGGCCUAUAUUGUAAGUGUUGACAUGGAAUAUAUGUAUGUAUGUUGUACAUUGUAUGUGUUGGUUUUUCUCUUUUCACUGCUGUCUGUGCAACAAAUUGCCCCUCGGGGAUAAUAAAGUUUUACUUGACUUGA